rnacentral:rRNA from 1 species
UGAGGAAUAUUGGUCAAUGGGCGAGAGCCUGAACCAGCCAAGUCGCGUGAAGGAAGAAGGUUCUAUGGAUUGUAAACUUCUUUUGUAAGGGAAUAAAAAGAGUUACGUGUAACUUAUUGUAUGUACUUUACGAAUAAGGAUCGGCUAACUCCGUGCCAGCAGCCGCUGUAAUACGGAGGAUCCAAGCGUUAUCCGGAUUUAUUGGGUUUAAAGGGUGCGUAGGCGGGCCCUUAAGUCAGUGGUGAAAGUUUGCAGCUUAACUGUAAAAUUGCCAUUGAAACUGAGGGUCUUGAGUGUAAAUAAGGUAGGCGGAAUGUGUUGUGUAGCGGUGAAAUGCUUAGAUAUAACACAGAACACCAAUUGCGAAGGCAGCUUACUGGGAUACAACUGACGCUAAGAUACGAAAGCGUGGGGAGCAAACA